GAUGAACGCUGGCGGCGUGCCUAAUACAUGCAAGUCGAGCGAACGGACGAGAAGCUUGCUUCUCUGAUGUUAGCGGCGGACGGGUGAGUAACACGUGGAUAACCUACCUAUAAGACUGGGAUAACUUCGGGAAACCGGAGCUAAUACCGGAUGAUAUUUUGAACCGCAUGGUUCAAAAGUGAAAGACGGUCUUGCUGUCACUUAUAGAUGGAUCCGCGCUGCAUUAGCUAGUUGGUAAGGUAACGUCUUACCAAGGCAACGAUGCAUAGCCGACCUGAGAGGGUGAUCGGCCACACUGGAACUGGGACACGGUCCAGACUCCUAUGGGAGGCAGCAGUAGGGAAUCUUCCGCAAUGGGCGAAAGCCUGACGGAGCAACGCCGCGUGAGUGAUGAAGGUCUUCGGAUCGUAAAACUCUGUUAUUAGGGAAGAACAUAUGUGUAAGUAACUGUGCACAUCUUGACGGUACCUAAUCAGAAAGCCACGGCUAACUACGUG
rnacentral:rRNA from 1 species